GCGCAUUUCUAUUGCUGAAAUAUGCUAGAUGGCAUAAAAUCCUACAAGUGACAUUUUCAAUGGAAUACUCUAAAUACAAAGCAAUAGGUCUCCUGGUCCUCUGCCUUCACGCCUGGAGCUUCUCGUUGACGUCUCUCCCUGGUCACACCGUUUACCUGAACUGCUCAGGUGCCAACAGCAGUGUCGGCCCAGCGAUGCUCUGGUACAGGCAGCUCCCCAGGCGGCCACCUCAACCCAUACUGCAGACCUUCAGCCCUGACCGUGCACUCCACUUCCCAUACUUUAAUUUCGGAGGACAUUUUCUCUCAAUGAAGAAUCACACUCUAGUCAUCCAGAACGUCACCCAAGAAGACGCUGCGACUUAUUACUGCUCACAGCUAGAGAGGGAGGUGUGCCGCUUCAGUGACGGGAUCGAGCUGCAAGUUAACGGUGAGAAUGGAACGAGGUGAUCAGGGUAUAGGAACGAAACGUGGGUUGGUCAGCUAUAGAAACAUGCCAGCUUUGUGUUCAAAAGGCCGCUCGAAACAUUGGGUUUGUAAAAAUGACUUUUCGGUGGCUGUUAAUAUAAUAUUUG